rnacentral:rRNA from 1 species
CCUACGGGGGGCAGCAGUGGGGGAUAUUGCACAAUGGGGGGAACCCUGAUGCAGCGACGCCGCGUGGGUGAAGAAGCGCCUCGGCGCGUAAAGCCCUGUCAGCAGGGAAGAAAAUGACGGUACCUGAAGAAGAAGCCCCGGCUAACUACGUGCCAGCAGCCGCGGUAAUACGUAGGGGGCAAGCGUUAUCCGGAUUUACUGGGUGGAAAGGGGGCGCAGACGGCGAUGCAAGCCAGGAGUGAAAGCCCGGGGCCCAACCCCGGGACUGCUCUUGGAACUGCGUGGCUGGAGUGCAGGAGGGGCAGGUGGAAUUCCUGGUGUAGCGGUGAAAUGCGUAGAUAUCAGGAGGAACACCGGUGGCGAAGGCGGCCUGCUGGACGGCAACUGACGUUGAGGCCCGAAAGCGUGGGGAGCAAACAGGAUUAGAUACCCCAGUAGUC